rnacentral:rRNA from 1 species
CCAGACUCCUACGGGAGGCAGCAGUGGGGAAUAUUGGACAAUGGGGGGAACCCUGAUCCAGCGACGCCGCGUGAGUGAAGAAGUAUUUCGGUAUGUAAAGCUCUAUCAGCAGGGAAGAAAGAAAUGACGGUACCCGACUAAGAAGCCCCGGCUAACUACGUGCCAGCAGCCGCGGUAAUACGUAGGGGGCGAGCGUUAUCCGGAUUCACUGGGUGUAAAGGGAGCGUAGACGGCCAUGCAAGCCAGGGGUGAAAGCCCGGGGCCCAACCCCGGGACUGCCCUUGGAACUGCAUGGCUGGAGUGCGGGAGGGGCAGGCGGAAUUCCUGGUGUAGCGGUGAAAUGCGUAGAUAUCAGGAGGAACACCGGCGGCGAAGGCGGCCUGCUGGACCGCGACUGACGUUGAGGCCCGAAAGCGUGGGGAGCGAACAGGAUUAGAUACCCCCGUAGU